ACACUGAUAACAAGCCCUACUGGGUGAUUGGCCUGCUCCAUUCUCUGUCCUGUCUGAACCACCAAGAAAAGGUCAAGCUCGCUGACUUCAAGAAUGAAGCUGCGGGCCUCACAGUGAGUGUUACAGCUCUUAAAGGUGGUGCAUCCGCAGUUUGUUCCUUCCAGUGGGUUCAUGGUCACGCAGACUUCAGGAAUGAAGCCGCAGACACUCGCAGUUUGAGGAUACAUGUGAAAUUCCUGUCAUGGGAUUUUGUUGUACAGAUUAUUUCAUCACUCAGAUGUAAGGAUGACUUAUCAAGAAACUUUCACACAGCACAGGUAUGCACAACAGAGUUGAAGAGCUUGAAAUGCAGAGAGUACAUCUUGGAUCUGAGAGUACCCUUGAGCUCCGUGUUCAGCAAGAAAGCAGUGAGCGCCAUGGGCUCUGUGGUACUGGCAUCAGGUUACUCACCUGUCUUGGAGCUUAUCAACGAUCUACUUUACAUCUCAUAUUUGAUACCAGAAACUGCUAAAAAUAAAAUCAGAUCAAGUAAAACAGGAAUAAA
rnacentral:lncRNA from 1 species